AGGUAACGGCUUACCAAGGCGACGAUCCUUAGGGGUUCUGAGAGGAAGGUCCCCCACACUGGUACUGAGACACGGACCAGACUCCUACGGGAGGCAGCAGUGAGGAAUAUUGGUCAAUGGGCGAGAGCCUGAACCAGCCAAGUCGCGUGAAGGAAGACUGUCCUAAGGAUUGUAAACUUCUUUUAUACGGGAAUAACGGGCGAUACGAGUAUUGCAUUGAAUGUACCGUAAGAAUAAGCAUCGGCUAACUCCGUGCCAGCAGCCGCGGUAAUACGGAGGAUGCGAGCGUUAUCCGGAUUUAUUGGGUUUAAAGGGUGCGUAGGUUGUUCGGUAAGUCAGCGGUGAAACCUGAACGCUCAACGUUCAGCCUGCCGUUGAAACUGCCGGGCUUGAGUUCAGUGGCGGCAGGCGGAAUUCGUGGUGUAGCGGUGAAAUGCAUAGAUAUCACGAGGAACUCCGAUUGCGAAGGCAGCUUGCCAUACUGCGACUGACACUGAAGCACGAAGGCGUGGGUAUCAAACAGGAUUAGAUACCCUGGUAGUCCACGCAGUAAACGAUGAUUACUAGGAGUUUGCGAUAUACCGUCAAGCUUCCACAGCGAAAGCGUUAAGUAAUCCACCUGGGGAGUACGCCGGCAACGGUGAAACUCAAAGGAAUUGACGGGGGCCCGCACAAGCGGUGGAGCAUGUGGUUUAAUUCGAUGAUACGCGAGGAACCUUACCCGGGCUUGAAUUGCAGAGGAAGAAUUUAGAGAUAAUGACGCCCUUCGGGGUCUCUGUGAAGGUGCUGCAUGGUUGUCGUCAGCUCGUGCCGUGAGGUGUCGGCUUAAGUGCCAUAACGAGCGCAACCCACAUCGGUAGUUGCUAACAGUUUUCGCUGAGGACUCUACCGAGACUGCCGUCGUAAGGCGUGAGGAAGGUGUGGAUGACGUCAAAUCAGCACGGCCCUUACGUCCGGGGCUACACACGUGUUACAAUGGCCGGUACAGAGGGACGGUGCAAUGCAAGUUGCAUCCAAUCUUGAAAGCCGGUCCCAGUUCGGACUGGGGUCUGCAACCCGACCCCACGAAGCUGGAUUCGCUAGUAAUCGCGCAUCAGCCAUGGCGCGGUGAAUACGUUCCCGGGCCUUGUACACACCGCCCGUCAAGCCAUGGGAGUCGGGGGUACCUGAAGGGCGUAACCGCAAGGGGCGCACUAGGGUAAUACCGGUGACUGGGGCUAAGUCGUAACAAGGUAGCCGU
rnacentral:rRNA from 1 species